AGCGAACGCUGGCGGCAGGCCUAACACAUGCAAGUCGAACGAACCUUUCGGGGUUAGUGGCGGACGGGUGAGUAACACGUGGGAACGUGCCUUUAGGUUCGGAAUAACUCAGGGAAACUUGUGCUAAUACCGAAUGUGCCCUUCGGGGGAAAGAUUUAUCGCCUUUAGAGCGGCCCGCGUCUGAUUAGCUAGUUGGUUGAGGUAAUGGCUCACCCAGGCGACGAUCAGUAGCUGGUCUGAGAGGAUGAUCAGCCACAUUGGGACUGAGACACGGCCCAAACUCCUACGUGAGGCAGCAGUGGGGAAUCUUGCGCAAUGGGCGAAAGCCUGACGCAGCCAUGCCGCGUGAAUGAUGAAGGUCUUAGGAUUGUAAAAUUCUUUCACCGGGGACGAUAAUGACGGUACCCGGAGAAGAAGCCCCGGCUAACUUCGUGCCAGCCGCCGCAGUAA
rnacentral:rRNA from 1 species